AUGAAUCUCCAAAAUAAUCAUGCACUAUUUUUUUUUCUAUCAGGAAAAGGAUUUGCCAGUCUAUUUUCCUUCUCCACAGAGCUAGCCAUUAUUUAAAAAGGAAGAAACCUUCAAUUCUUUGCUCCCUCUGGGGUACCGUGCAUCAUUCUUCUGAGGGUAUUUUUAGCCUACAACAAAGUUGUCUUUAUUCUGCAGUUCCUUAAUCCCUUUUUCUUCUGAUACUCUGGGAAACAAAACAGUAGCUGUUCUCAGAGGAAUGCCUAGAGAAUUACAUUAAUUCAGAAAACAAGAGAUUCACCAUGUAGUUCUGUGAUCUAAAUGGAAUGAGAAGGUCACACUGUACCUAUUCUUAAAUUGCAUCGUUUGCUUCUCCCAUUGUUACUUGCAUUUUAUGCAGACUCUUACUUGUGCCAGUUAGCUACAAAUUUGGGACUGUAGUCAGUCCACUGCUCCUCCAGAUAAAUCUGAGGCAAAAUCUACUGCAUUAGCUCUAAUAGAGUCCUUUGCAAGCUUGACCUAACCUGGUCAGGAUCUGUUCUGAUUGAAUUGUAAAGCCUGUUAUGUCUCUUGCUGUACAUUUCUCUUGCUGCUAAAGUCUUCAUGUUUAGUCGGAUAUACUAAUUCUUCCAAGAUCCUGGCCGUCUCAGCCCUACCAUCGGUCUACCCUUUGAGGUGUUUGGGAUUUAACAAAAAUGAACUACUUCUCUUGCCCAUGGAUUACCGGCAUGACAACAAGGCUCAUUAUUUUCAGAAGCUUGUGACUAUGUGGGAGAAUUUAUAUGUACUUCUGUGUGAUGAAGAAUUGGAUGCAGUCUCUUUGGAAGCUGUGCACCAACAAAAGAUGAAGAAUAGACAAGCCCACUCUUCAUCAGCUCUCUAUUUUAAUAACAUGUAAUGAAGAAGGGGGAC
rnacentral:lncRNA from 1 species